rnacentral:rRNA from 1 species
GACGAACGCUGGCGGCGUGCUUAACACAUGCAAGUCGAACGGAAAGGCCCUGCUUUUGUGGGGUGCUCGAGUGGCGAACGGGUGAGUAACACGUGAGUAACCUGCCCUUGACUUUGGGAUAACUUCAGGAAACUGGGGCUAAUACCGGAUAGGAGCUCCUGCUGCAUGGUGGGGGUUGGAAAGUUUCGGCGGUUGGGGAUGGACUCGCGGCUUAUCAGCUUGUUGGUGGGGUAGUGGCUUACCAAGGCUUUGACGGGUAGCCGGCCUGAGAGGGUGACCGGCCACAUUGGGACUGAGGUACGGCCCAGACUCCUACGGGAGGCAGCGGUGGGGAAUAUUGCACAAUGGGCGGAAGCCUGAUACAGCAACGCCGCGUGCGGGAUGACUGCCUUCGGGUUGUAAACCGCUUUCGCCUGUGACGAAGCGUGAGUGACGGUAAUGGGUAAAGAAGCACCGGCUAACUACGUG